ACCGGAGCCUGAGACCGCGCCGCGGCUUGCGAGCCCGGUGACGUCACAGCGCGAGCCUGGAAUCCGCAGCUCCGCGGGUUACCUGGAAGCGGUGCGAGCGCCCAAUACCUGACAAGAACUGAGCCUGACUAUUACCAUGAUUGCAGCCUUCGCAGAACCUGAGCGAGAACCCAGUGAUGCCAUGGCUGUGCUGGGACUUCCGACUUUCAGAACUGUGGGCUAUUAAAUGGGUGUUGUUUUAAGCUGUUAGAAAUCUGGACUUUGCUGUCUCUGAAAAUCACCAUUUGCCUUUGGGAGAUGUGUGUUGGCAAGAAGAGGAGACAUAUUCAAACCCCACUGGCUAGGACAUCAGGAGCUCAGUAUGGAAUGCAAAGGCCACCCUAGACUGUCCUGCUAAUGCUGACUCUUCUGCCCAUCUCUGUUUUGAAGUUCUCCAUGGCUUUUAUUCUAGUGUAAGUUUGAUGUUAACAUAUAAUUUGACCUUUGAUUCACUCCUAUAUUGUAAGUCCGUUAAAUUAGCCCUAGUUUUUGAUAAAUCUGCUCCAUCCACAUAGCCUUGUGGUUAUGCAGUAGGAGGAGGUAGGCAGAGAGGGAAGCGUAGCUGGUUCCACAUUCACCCUUCACCUGAACGCAAGGUCGUCUCAUUGUAUCAAGAGGGACUGUAGACCCCAGGUUCCAGGAGACGGUGGUCAGGAGAGAGGUGUUUGAUUUGUCACAGUUGUGAUGGGAGAGGUGAAAAGACCAUAGGAUCUGGAGAAGUAACUCCCAGGAGAGCAACACAGGAGGGAUGAGAGCUGUCUUCUCCCUGCACUGUGCUCCAGAACAGUGAGCCCAGCAGUGGGGCGGGGAGGAUAAGUAGAGGGCAGACAUGAGUUAAGCCUGCGCCAUAGUUUAUGUGUCACUGCAACUAGAGUCUGAAAGAAAAUCAAGUUGGAAGAUCAGCGAAAAGUUGAAGAUCUAUAUAAAUGAGUCAUUGUGAUUUACCCCAACUGCCCAGUAAAGCUCUGGAAAAGGAUUUCCUUCAGCCUUCCUACAAAAUUCAUUCUGAAUUUUGUUUCUGAAUCUUCCAAACUUAGUUUUUACAAAAUUAUUUCUUUUUUGGACAUUCCUCUGAAAGGUUUGGAUGUAGAAUUUGAGCGAGUUGGGGUUACAUUUUGGCUACAAUUGCCUUCAAAACAUGCCUAGCUGAUCACAUUCACCUGGUAAACAUUUUCCUUUUAUAUAUAUCAAAGAAACAGAAAUACUUAUGAUUUAGUUUUUAGCUUCUUUAUUCAUUUGAACACUUCAAUAUUCUGUCUUCUUCAAUGAUUCCCCCUUGCCCGUAUUUUCAGCUGGAACAGUUUCUCAUUUUCCCUAUUUCUGAACACUUUCAGGGGCUUCCUUCAGUGAAGCCCAACACACAAAACGUCCCUUUCAGCAAAAUCUCAGCGGUGGUGCUAAGGGACUAACACAGACUUUAAGGUCACAAAACCAUUGUUUUAACAUUUUUCUCUGUUUCUUUUCUGAUAAUGAUGACAGUUCUGUCUCUAUUAUAUUUGCUGAAACUUACUAGGACCCAGUGAUACUAGCUCAUCCUCUAGAGAGAGGUCCCAAGAGCAUUACACCAGAUCUCCUACGAAGAUGUGGGAUUUCCUCUAGGAAAAGGUGUGUAUCCAGGUAAUUUACUAAGCCAGAAGCUGCUGUGAUUCUAUGGCAGCCUUAUCUCUUAUGACACGUCCAUUUACUAAGAUUUGGUGAUCUGGAUGAUGGCACAGAGUGCUGUACUAAAGCCUGCCCCAGAUGGUGGGUGUGCAUGUCAUCAGCUAUGAUAAUGGGAAACUGGCUGAUGGAAAGAGCACAGCUCCGAUAUGUGACACAAUGGAAACAUUUGGGCAUUAGAAAGACUUCAAAUUAUGACUUCGCCACUAAUUAAUUGUGUGAUCUUGGAUAAGUUACUUAACCCCUGCAAACCCCAGUUUUCUCAUCUGUAAAAAUGGAAUAAGGACAUAUGUCUUAUGAACUUAUAAGGAUCUGAGAAAAUAAAUAUGUGAGUGUGUGAGAGAGUGAGAUGGGGGAGGGAUGCAAUGAAUAAACAAGUUUCUAAAAAUGUGAGGAAUUUGACUAUAUACCCAAAGUUCUUAUAGCAGUGACCUUUGGUCUAUAAUGCAUGUAGAAGUAUUGACUUAAUUCUAGAUUUUGUUAAAUCAGGUGUACAUGUUGAAAAUUUUAAGGUGUAUCAAUUAGAAAUUGCAUUCAUCUGAUAAUAAAAAUCUUGACUAAAGUGACUUGAA